rnacentral:rRNA from 1 species
GAUGAACGCUGGCGGCGUGCCUAACACAUGCAAGUCGAACGGAGAUUACGGACGGAAGUUUUCGGAUGGAAGCCUGUAAUUCUUAGUGGCGGACGGGUGAGUAACGCGUGGGCAACCUGCCCUAUACAGGGGGAUAGCAGCUGGAAACGGCUGGUAAGACCGCAUAAGUCGGUUAAAUCGCAUGAUUUGAUCGGGAAAUGAGCAAUCAGGUAUAGGAUGGGCCCGCGUCCGAUUAGCCAGUUGGCAGGGUAAAAGCCUACCAAAGCGACGAUCGGUAGCCGGACUGAGAGGUAGGACGGCCACAUUGGGACUGAGACACGGCCCAAAAUCCUACGGGAGGCAGCAGUGGGGGAUAUUGCAAAAUGGAGGAAACUCUGAUGCAGCGACGCCGCGUGAGUGAAGAAGUAUUUCGGUAUGUAAAGCUCUAUCAGCAGGGAAGAUGAUGACGGUACCUGACUAAGAAGCCCCGGCUAACUACGUG